rnacentral:rRNA from 1 species
GACGAACGCUGGCGGCGUGCUUAACACAUGCGAGUCGAACGGAAAGGCCCUGCUUGCAGGGUACUCGAGUGGCGAACGGGUGAGUAACACGUGGGUGAUCUGCCCUGCACUUCGGGAUAAGCCUGGGAAACUGGGUCUAAUACCGGAUAGGAGCCAUUUUUAGUGUGAUGGUUGGAAAGUUUUUUCGGUGUAGGAUGAGCUCGCGGCCUAUCAGCUUGUUGGUGGGGUAAUGGCCUACCAAGGCGGCGACGGGUAGCCGGCCUGAGAGGGUGGACGGCCACAUUGGGACUGAGAUACGGCCCAGACUCCUACGGGAGGCAGCAGUGGGGAAUAUUGCACAAUGGGCGCAAGCCUGAUGCAGCGACGCCGCGUGGGGGAUGACGGCCUUCGGGUUGGAAACUCCUUUCGCUAGGGACGAAGCUUUUUGUGACGGUACCUAGAUAAGAAGCACCGGCUAACUACGUG